GAUGAAGAACGUAGCGAAAUGCGAUAAGUAGUGUGAAUUGCAGAAUUACGUGAAUCAUCGAAUCUUUGAACGCAAAUUGCACUCUCUGGUAUUCCGGGGAGUAUGCCUGUUUGAGGGUCGCUUAAUAAACAUCGAUUUUCAUCGCUUUUUUUUUAAAGAGCGAUGUUUAUCGGAUUUGAGCCGUCUUUUUUUUAUGUAUUAUUAUAUAUAUAUUUAAAAGUGACUUAAAAUUGAUUUUUCUGGUAUGAUCGAAGCGUAUUUUAUGAUCAAUUUUUGGUUAAAGAAACGUACGCGUACCAUCAUUCAUAUGAUGUAAUACGUUUGACUAUUGGAUUUAGUUCAUUCGUAUACGAUAUUUUUCAAAUUUUGACCUCAAAUCAGGUAAGAACACCCGCUGAACUUAAGCAUAUCAAUAAGCGGAGGA
rnacentral:misc_RNA from 1 species